CCUACGGGAGGCAGCAGUAAGGAAUAUUGGUCAAUGGAGGCAACUCUGAACCAGCCAUGCCGCGUGCAGGAAGAAGGCCCUAUGGGUCGUAAACUGCUUUUGUACCAGAGAAAACCCGAGUACGUGUACUCGGUUGAUAGUAUGGUAAGAAUAAGCAUCGGCUAACUUCGUGCCAGCAGCCGCGGUAAGACGAAGGAUGCAAGCGUUAUCCGGAUUCAUUGGGUUUAAAGGGUGCGUAGGCGGACUGAUAAGUCAGUGGUGAAAUCUCUCGGCUUAACCGAGAAACUGCCAUUGAUACUGUUAGUCUAGAGUAUAGAUGACGUUGGCGGAAUAUGACAUGUAGUGGUGAAAUACUUAGAUAUGUCAUAGAACACCGAUUGCGAAGGCAGCUAACGAAACUAUAACUGACGCUGAGCGACGAAGUAGCGGGAGUACAACAAGAGUAGUAUACCUACGGUACGUACCGCGACCGUAACGAACGUAGUAUUACUUACGUUCGUUGGUCGUAUAUAGUACCGUCGACGCGACCGACGACGAACGACGAGUAAGUAAUACCUACCGUACGGGGUAGGUACGGCCCGGCCGACCGGUACGGAAACGUAACCGAAACGUAAAGUUAGUACGGACGUAGAGGACGUACGACCGACGGACGGACCGACCGACGGGGAGGGGAGGGAGG
rnacentral:rRNA from 1 species